rnacentral:rRNA from 1 species
CCUACGGGUGGCAGCAGUGGGGAAUAUUGCACAAUGGGGGAAACCCUGAUGCAGCGACGCCGCGUGAAGGAAGAAGUAUUUCGGUAUGUAAACUUCUAUCAGCAGGGAAGAAAAUGACAGUACCUGACUCAGAAGCCCCGGCUAACUCCGUGUCAGAAGCAGCGGCAAUACGUAGGGGGCAAGCGUUAUCCGGAUUUACUGGGAGUAAAGGGAGCGUAGGCGGUUUAGCAAGUCAGAAGUGAAAGCCCGGGGCUCAACUCCGGGACUGCAUUUGAAACUGUUGAACUAGAGUGCAGGAGAGGUAAGUGGAAUUCCCGGUGUAGCGGUGAAAUGCGUAGAUAUUAGGAGGAACACCAGUGGCGAAGGCGGCUUACUGGACUGUAACUGACGUUGAGGCUCGAAAGCGUGGGGAGCGAACAGGAUUAGAUACCCUAGUAGUC